rnacentral:rRNA from 1 species
UACAUACUGUGCGAACGUUAUUCGGAUUCACUGGGCUUAAAGGGUGCGUAGGUGGCUUGUUAAGUAGGGUGUGAAAGCCCCCAGCUCAACUGGGGAACUGCACUCUAUACUGGCGAGCUAGAGUGAGAUAGGGGUGUGUGGAACUGCCAGUGGAGCGGUGAAAUGUGUUGAUAUUGGCAGGAACGCCGGUGGCGAAAGCGACACACUGGGUCUCAACUGACACUGAGGCACGAAAGCCAGGGGAGCGAACGGG